CGGCAACAGCCCAAAACUCAAAGGACUUGGCGGUGCUUUAUACCCUUCUAGAGGAGCCUGUUCUAUAAUCGAUAAACCCCGAUAAACCUCACCAAUCCUUGCUAAUACAGUCUAUAUACCGCCAUCUUCAGCAAACCCUAAAAAGGAACAAAAGUAAGCUCAAUAAUAAUACAUAAAGACGUUAGGUCAAGGUGUAACCUAUGGAAUGGGAAGAAAUGGGCUACAUUUUCUACCCAAGAA
rnacentral:rRNA from 1 species